AUACUCAUAUGAAAAAACUUUUAAAAUAGUACAGGGCAUUUCAGUUCUUAUCAAAUCAUGUAAUUUCAUUCGGUAACAGUAAUCAUAUCUCAAGUAACGGUAAAAUAUAUCUAAUAACCGUGAAAAUAUUUAUAACAACUGUAGUCAUCUCAAAUAAUUAUUUCGGUAUCAUAACAUGUUCAUACUAAAAAUCAUGUGUAAAUCAUGUAAGUUAUGAAAACACAAAUUGCGGUACGGUUACUACUCGCAAUACUCGUGUCGAAAUAUCAAACUCCUAACCUCGAGCGAUCUGUACAACUUUCUUCAAUCAAUCUAUAAUCACAUCAAUAUCGAUCUCGUGUUAAUUUUCUUGUUUAGGAUAAUUCAUUGAUAAUUUAGAAUACUCAACCCUUGAGGUUUCAUUUUUGACUCUUAUAUCGCCGGAUUAUAUUUACCCAUGCGAUGAGUAAUUACUAAUCUAUCAACUUCAACCUGUUCAUAUAAUUUAUUAAUCCAAUUUCAUAAAGUUCUAUAGAUUCUUCAGAAAGAUAAUUCUCAAUUACGUGAAUGAAACAGUGAAAAUUCUAUUACUCUGUAGAAUCUUUCAAUCAUGGGAAACGAAAUUAAAAUCUAUCAGAAGAAGAAGCUCAAGUAUUACCGUAGAAUCAAUUAGUGCUUAAGAUUUCUCAACUGCAUGGACUUAUUCCUCCUUCUUUUCUCUUUUCUUUCCUUCUUUCCUUUUUUCCCUACUUCUGUUAUCGUUUUCUUUCCUUUUGAAGCUUUUGCUUCGUUCCCUUCCCCUAACCCUUUUUAAUUCAUUGGCAGAAUUGUUUUGAUGGGCUUACCUUUUCUGUUUCCAUUCUUUCUUUUUUUUUGUUUUGUUUUAUUAGUUUGUCCUUUUUUCCUUUGGACUUAAAUUAUUUUCUAAAUGUACAAUAUGUCAUCAUUUAAAAUAUUGGGGUAUGACAUAGCUACACCACAUAUGUUCAAACAUAAAGGGUUUAGCUAGAGUUGGUGGAGUUAUGCCACAACCUAAUCAUAGGACAAUGGUUGGAAUGGGUCCUAGCUAGGUGAAAAAUAGUAGUUUGGGUAUUUUUGAAUCCAAUCUUCCUUAGCGUAACAUCUAUCCAAUCUUUCAAGUAUGAGCUAGCUCUUAUUCCUAUAUCCCAUGCUAGUCCAAGUAUAUUUACUCCCUUUAAAACCUAGGUCAAUUAAUUUACGAGGAUUAGUGCACUGUCGGAAGAGGUUAGCUCUAAGGACAAAGAUGCAAUUAUCCCCUUGCUUAUCUCAAGCUUUAUGGAUUUCAUUGAAAUCCCCUCCUACUAACUAACUGACCUUGUAAUUCUUUGGGAUUAACCUAAGUUGUUCCCAUAAAAUUCCUCUAGUGGCAUAGGUGUUACUAGCAUAGAUAGCAGUAAAGACCCAAGGGUUGAAGGAAGGGGUUAUCUUGACCAUGACGUUGAUGCCCUGUGGUGUGGUGGAAACCUCAUCAAUCUUCAGGAUGUCAUGUCAUCCUUCCACAUGAUGACAAUAACCCCUGAGAGGCCCACAACAGAGUUCUAGAUUUGUCCUGAGAAACCCAACUCCUGAAUCAUGUGCUUGUGCUCAGUCAUCCUAGUCUCAAGUAAAACAAGCAUAGAUGGCUUAUGCAGCUUAACCAUCUCAGCAAAGUGUCUCCUAAAUUUCCCACUUUUAAUCCCCCGAGCAUUUCAGAUUAUAAAAUUCAUUAACAUCCUGGGUUGUGGUGGUGACUUCCUUUUCAGGCACUCGCCUUUCCCUUUUGGGGAAGGGCUCUCCAAGUUCUUCUUCAGGGGAUAGUUGUCCUACUACAGUUGUGGGGUGGGGUUCAAGUCCAUAGUCGGACUUAGCUUUGCUGCUGAGUCUUGCUCUAAGGGAAACCUUAGGCUUACCACAUACAUCACAAUAUUACCUGAAAAGUGUGCGAUAAGCAUUUCGCCCCUGGCCCUUUGAAUUAUAGCAGUUCCUCCCACCGAAGGAGUAUUGCCUUUGUUUGGAGACUCCUAGUUUUGUGAUCAAUGUUUCUAUUUCCAAUUUGGAUGCUUCUAGAUGCUCGUGAACCUUUUCCGACCUUGCCAGCGGUGUUGUCUGUGGUGCCGAUCCCACUAGCUAUGAUGGUGUCCAUGAGGUAAAUGGUGAACUAGGGAUCGACUCUCCUAGUGACACACGGGGGAAGAAGAGGAGGGUGUGACUAAUCUGGUUCAUCAACAGGAUGAGAUGUUUGCUGGCUUAGGGCUACCUGAGCUUGUAUCAGGGUUGCCAGCUAGAGCUGGUGGCCAAAGUUCAUCAUCACAUGGUUUAGAUAUGCAGUCAUUACCUUGGCCAGAUAGUGGAGAUUCUGGAUGAUUACAAUGAUGGGUAGGGCUCCGAUCGUGAAGCAACCAAGAGGUUUGGAAAUGGUCUGGGGCAGUGGUGUAGAUGUGAAAAUGAGGGGCAGUGCUUCCUCUUCUUGUGUUUGUGUAGAUGCAUGUUGUUGAGGGUGGUUGUUUGUCAUUGAUGCUGCUUGGAGUGUUUUUGGAAGAGAGUUUUCAUUAGGAUCCACAGAGUGUUCCCUUAAGCUAUCCUCUUUUUCAUUAGGUUUCCGUGCCAGAAAAUUUCCCAUCAUUUGAGGUCUGUGGGGAGGGGGGCAGCGUCAAUCUUAUCACCUGAGAGGAAAUGACGAGAGGAGAUUGUGUGGGUAGGAGUUUGAUUACACAGCUGCGCCCAGAGAGAGGGUUUAGGGUGUUCGUUCCCUUCCUUCACCGAGUUAGGGAGAUUUUGGCAUGUGUCAAUUUCAAAUGGGUCCCCAUUAUUUUGACGUUUCUUAUUAGAGUUUGGUACCAAUUUUGGUAUAUCAUCGGGUAUCUUAAAAUAAUCCGAUUUUGGUGCAGCAUUUUGUGAUUGGGAUUUUCGCUACCAAGGAUCUUGUCAAUGGGGUUAGAGCGUGUGUUAGGAAUGUGUGAAAGCAUGUGACUGGCCUGAGUAGUGAGUGUGGAUUUCCCUCGUGUGGGCCACUAUGCAUUGGGUAAGAUCAGUACUGAUCUGCUUUCCUAAUUGGGCUUUGCACGCUCUCAUUUUUGGGGCUAUUUCUACAAGGCCCCAUUUUAGUGUGCUAGCCCUGUUCAUUUGGGCAUGCCCUACGCUUACUCUCAUACCCCAGUACAAAGUGUUUCCCAAGGAGAGAGAAUUACCGGAAUUUAGGUUGUACACUUUAACCACUGUUGAGUCGUCCUUUGCUACCAAUUGCUUCUAUUUCAUUUUCGUGAUGAUUUCAUUUUUUAAUGAAAAGUGGUUAAUAGUUAUAUCCCUUAACCGUACUUGCUGCUCUGCGUUGAACUCGUUUAGUGGCUUUUGAAUGGAGUCUUCCCUAAUUACGUCAUAAAAUUCUUCCUUAGGAAGUCGAUUUAUUAGAGAAGCCAGUGGAGGCUUGAAAACAAGACAGUCCGAAAAAAGGGCUUUUGGUUCUCCAUUAUUUUUCCUAAAUGCAUGUUCAUCCUUGGGAAUUCGACUGUUUUUUAGCUUUCCUCGCCAGGUGAUUUUUGGGUACUUGUUGAGCAUUCCAGUUAUUUCGGUAUGCCGGCAACUAUUUCUAAGGUGCAUUUUUUAGAUAUGACCAUUUUGCCCACAUUUUUUGCAAAAAAUACCGUCACCCUCAUACACAAUGGGUUGUUUGUGGUCCCCUGUUAUUACCACCGAUGUUUGCAGUGGUACCUCUAUUGGCACUUAGAUGCAGAUCAGCGCGUAUCUGCCUCUUAGAGUAGUAGAGGAACGAAGUUUGGCUCCCAGUUCCGAACUGGGAGGAAGUGGCCCAUAAUGAACCAUGGCCCCCCUGCAGCGCACCGGUCAUAUUUCCUCUUUCACAAUUUUCACUAUGAAAAAGUUCCAUCCUUGGUCAAUUAGGAAAAAUAGUUCAGUUGGGUUCCAAAGUUGCUGGAGCUUGGUCCGUAGGAGGUGGUAGGGGAUUUUCCUUCAAAAUACCUUAAUAAAAAGUGAGAAUUUCCAUGGUUGGUAAAUCCUGAGCUUUUAUUCCUGAGACAAUGGGAUUGGCUCGAUACUUCCUAUGUUUGAGGCUGCUUCGAGCUCUGUUCCUGUUGGUGGUAUUGUGGACAGUAAACAUUUGACUUUGUCAAGUGGUUUUUGCUUGGAUUUUCUUGAAGGCGUUCUUGAUUGUUGUUUCCAUAUCCAUCAGUGUGUUUUUACUGUCCGGUGGAUCAUGGGUUUGCGGUAGCAAUGAGAGUAUUGGGUCCUUUGCAAUGUGGGGAUAAGACCAUGUUAGGGGAGGGAGGAGGUUUAUAUAUAAUUGUAGAAAUUGAAUAGACUUUCUCUCUCUAAUGCGUGUGAAGUACUAUUGUUCUUUUUCUUACUAUUGUUCUUAUGCUUUCUUUUUGUUAUAAAUAGAAUUUUAUUUAUGGUGAA